rnacentral:rRNA from 1 species
GACAGAGGUCCCGAGCGUUAGGCGGAAUUACUGGGCGUAAAGCGCGUGUAGGCGGUUGCCCAAGUCGGGUGUGAAAGCCUUGAGCUCAACUCAAGAAAUGCACUCGGUACUGGGUGACUAGAGGACCGGAGAGGAUAGUGGAAUUCCCAGUGUAGUGGUGAAAUACGUAGAGAUUGGGAAGAACACCAGUGGCGAAGGCGGCUAUCUGGACGGUUUCUGACGCUAAGACGCGAAAGCGUGGGGAGCAAACAGG